CCUACGGUGUGCAGCAGUGAGGAAUAUUGGUCAAUGGGAGAGAUCCUGAACCAGCCAAGCCGCGUGAGGGAAGCCGGCCCUAUGGGUUGUAAACCUCUUUUGUCGGAGAACAAAACCCGGGACGUGUCCCGGACUGCGUGUAUCCGAAGAAAAAGCAUCGGCUAACUCCGUGCCAGCAGCCGCGGUAAGACGGGGGAUCCGAGCGUUAUCCGGAUUUAUUGGGUUUAAAGGGUGCGUAGGUGGCCUUUUAAGUCAGCGGUGAAAGUCUGUGGCUCAACCAUAGAAUUGCCGUUGAAACUGGGGGGCUUGAGUAUGUUUGAGGCAGGCGGAAUGCGUGGUGUAGCGGUGAAAUGCUUAGAUAUCACGCAGAACCCCGAUUGCGAAGGCAGCCUGCCAAGCCAUGACUGACGCUGAUGCACGAAAGCGUGGGGAUCAAACAGGAUUAGUACCCCUGUAGUC
rnacentral:rRNA from 1 species